CUUUUUCAUUUUUCUUAAUUUAUUCUUACGUUUGCUUCUUCUCUGUAACAGUCUUGCAUGGCGAUUUGGGCUUCAAUUCGCAAAAAUUAGGGCUUCGCUAAUCGAUCGAUUUGCCAACUUUGUUUUAAAUAAGAUGUGAUCUCACAGUGGUUCUCGCGGUUUUUUUUUUUUCUUCUUCGAAGCCAAGAUUUUAUAAAGGACAGUCGGUGAAGUUGUUUCUUUUUUUAGAAGGAGGGGGGUGGGGGAUAUUUGGGGUUUGAGAUUUCUAGGGUUAGGGUUUUGGAAGGCAUGAAGGGGGCUUUGGAUCGAACUAAGGUGAUUCUCCGCCACUUGCCGCCGGCGAUUACGGAGGCCAUGCUUGUCGAACAAGUCGAUAGUGCUUUUGCUGGCCGGUACAACUGGCUCUCUUUUCGUCCCGGGAAGAGCAGUCAGAAGCAUCAGUCCUAUUCCAGAGCAUACAUAGAUUUCAAGAGGUCCGAGGACGUGUUGGAGUUUGCAGAGUUCUUUAAUGGGCACGUGUUUGUCAAUGAGAAGGGCACUCAGUUUAAAACAAUUGUUGAGUAUGCACCUUCCCAACGUGUUCCAAAGCUGUCUUCUAAAAAGGAUGGCCGUGAAGGGACUAUACUUAAAGUAUUUCUUGAUGAACAUCUAGAUCCUGAGUAUUUGGACUUCCUUGGAUGUCUUGCAAAGCCAGUUGAGAACCUUCCUAGUGCAGAGAUACAAUUGGAGAGAAAAGAGGCAGAAAGAGCUGGUGUACCGAAGGAUACUCCUAUAGUUACACCUUUAAUGGAUUUUGUUAGACAGAAAAGAGCAGCUAAGGGCGGAUCACGGAGGUCACUGUCCAAUGGGAAACUGAGCAGAAGAGCUGGUGGGUCUUCUGGUGGAACUCCAGGUUCAGCAUCAUUGAAAAGAGGUUCUGAAAAGAGAAGGGGUUCUACGGCAAUGUAUGUUCUGAGGGAUAGUUUGAAAAAUGCAAGUGGCAAAGACAAGUCAACUUACAUUUUGGUUUCUAAAAGGGAUGAGCAGCAACUUUCUGAUAAGCAUGUUACUUUAGCUUCAUCCAUGGGAACUGAAAUAUCUGAAGAGGAAAGUGGAGUUCCUGGAAUUACUGAUGCUGGUAAGAAGAAAGUUCUGCUUCUUAAAGGGAAAGAGAAAGAAAUUUCUCAUGUGGCUGGAACCAUGUUAUAUCAACAGAAUGUUACAUCUCCAAUUAAAAACAUACUUGGUUCGACUCCUACCAAACAGAACUCACGACGUGAAGGAAGAAUGAUUAGAGGCAUACUUUUAAACAAGGAUGCUCGUCAAAAUCAGUCUUCUGGGGUCCAGUCAGAUCAGCAAAUUCAGACCUCAAAUUUGGAAAAGGACAGACGACCGCCACGGCAUUCACAUUCACAUUUAGUUUUGAAGGAUACAAACACUGCUUCAGAUGACAAGGUUGUUGGGAAUGACUUGCAUGGCAGCGAGAAGCCAGAAAGACGUAGUAGAAACAAAGAUAGACCAGAUCGCGGUGUAUGGACCCUCCGCCGUUCUGAUGGAUCAUAUGCAAGUGAUGAGUCCAUGUCAUCAUCUGCUUCUCAGUCUCCGCAGAUACCUUUAGAUUCUCUAGAAGGGGCUUAUGGUGAUGUUAAAGUUGAUUUGUCAAAUGUACGGUCUGUGCAAGUUAAAACUGGUGGAAGUGGACGUAACAGUUCUUUAGAUAAUGGAUCCCAUAAUAAACAUGUCAGUCGUCGUGGAGCAGUUGCCGAUGGAUCUUCUGUUAUGAGUGAUGGGAAACCUGGAAAAAGAGGCAGUGCUGCUGGCUAUGGUUCUCAUGAGAAACAAGUUUGGGUGCAGAAAUCGAGUUCUGGUUCUUAGUGAACUUUUAAAAUGCAUUGGCAAUCCUGGUCUCAUUUAUGGUGGUGUUAGGAGAUUGUUAGUAGCAAGCUAAAGUAUCAGCAAUGGUGGCAGCAGUGAGCCUGAUGGUAGUUUUGGUGGCGAUUGUUGAUGGCAAGAUAAGUUGUAGGUGAGAGAACCAAAAGUAUGGACUUGUCUACAGUAUUCAUGAUGGCCAUAUUGCUGCUAAUGGGCGUAUUGGCAAUGAAAUGAUCAAAUUGCUUCGUCACAUGAAUAUUGAGCAUGCACUUGCUUUUUGCUGGAGGCUGUCUCGUUUUGCUUAACCCAUGAUCAGGUGUAAUCAAUGUUUCAGCAGCAAAGUAGGGGAAGAGGUUCAGUUGACCUAGAGGUUGCAGAUACCAUUGUAAUUAAUACUUGGUUGGUUGAAGGAAUCCCAAUGUUAAUACUUGGUGGAUUGAAGAAAAUCUUGAUCUUAGUCAAAGAUGGGUCAGAAUAGAAAGGAACAAGAAGCAAAGAGAAAUAAAAAGCUUUCUUAGUAAUCGCACUGCAUCACUGUUUUCAUGGCUGCAGGCCAUAGUGGAUUUUGGCCAGCCAGGGCACUAUGAAUCUCCUCUGAUUCUUGCCAUUGACUCGACUUGGUACUGGCAUAUUCUGAUUUUAUUGGUCGGUUUCCUCCCUUAGCUGGAACUGUAAAUAUAAACGCAGAGCCCUCUACAUACUCUCUGCUUUACUGAGUUAUUAUACGCGUAUUGUUGAGCAGUCCACCUUCAGUGUAAACUCUAGUUUAGCAUUUGUCUAUAUGGGUUGGUCAUUUGUGCAGAAGAGUAGGAAAGCUGGGGGAAACUUUUACCAGCCUGCAGCUUGUUUUGAAUCUUGACUGAUUUCUGUUACUAGGCAUUGGAGUGGUUUGGAGGAAUGGUAAAAUUGUAUGUCGGUGGGAAUUCAUUUUGGUUUUUGUCUUGGCUUGGGUCUUAUAAAGUGAUAUCCAAAAUGUGAGUGUUAAUGUUUGCUGC